GAUGAACGCUAGCGGCAGGCCUAACACAUGCAAGUCGAGGGGGCAGCGAGAUGUAGCAAUACAUUGUCGGCGACCGGCGCACGGGUGCGUAACGCGUAUGCGACCUACCUAUAACAGGGGGAUAACCCAGAGAAAUUUGGACUAAUACCCCAUACUAUCGCUAUGCUGCAUGGCAUGGCGAUGAAAACUCCGGUGGUGGCGGAUGGGCAUGCGGCGCAUUAGCUAGUUGGAGGGGUAACGGCCCACCAAGGCGACGAUGCGUAGGGGUUCUGAGAGGAAGGUCCCCCACACUGGUACUGAGACACGGACCAGACUCCUACGGGAGGCAGCAGUGAGGAAUAUUGGUCAAUGGGCGGGAGUCUGAACCAGCCAAGUCGCGUGAGGGAAGACGGCCCUACGGGUUGUAAACCUCUUUAGUCGGGAGCAAAAAGGAUACACGCGUGGUCCAUUGAGCGUACCCGAAGAAUAAGCAUCGGCUAACUCCGUGCCAGCAGCCGUCGG
rnacentral:rRNA from 1 species